CACAUCAGCAGCGUAGAUGCACACCUAGCUAUGCCAUUCGUGGUCGAUCUCCUUCAUCCCAUGCCCUAUUUUCUCUGAUUCAUCAUCGCGAGGCAGUAGCCUUUCGAUCGUUGACGUUGUGACUUCUUCACCAGGGUGGUUCCGCAGCCGGUGCCACCAGCUGCAAAAGUGGUUAGUGUCAUGGUUACCACAGGUGAUUAGCCAUCCUUCUUCCCCCUUCCAUAGUCGGGGGCAGAUCUGAUGUCACCGUACCCUAGUUCUGGCCCGGCAGCAGCUACCUUGCUGUCACCUUGGAGGGUAACACCUUCACAUAGCUUUAGCUAUCUCUGUGUGUGGGUGAUCCACAGCUCCAGCCGCAGAUUUUUCAGCAGCAAUUAUUCCAGCCGCAAGUCAACAAUAGAGCGCACUGAAUUGGGUAGCAGGUAAAUGAUUAUGGAGUCGCUUGGAGUAUCCUGUCUGUCGAUCACACGUCACAUCAGAAGACGGUCUUUAUUUCGCUUUUAUUUUGUUACAUAUUUUUCUUAUGGUAUUGACAUUGUAUUGGUGUUUAGC